rnacentral:rRNA from 1 species
AGAGUUUGAUCCUGGCUCAGGACGAACGCUGGCGGCGCGCCUAACACAUGCAAGUCGAACGAGCGAGAGAGAGCUUGCUUUCUCGAGCGAGUGGCGAACGGGUGAGUAACGCGUGAGGAACCUGCCUCAAAGAGGGGGACAACAGUUGGAAACGACUGCUAAUACCGCAUAAGCCCACGACCCGGCAUCGGGUAGAGGGAAAAGGAGAAAUCCGCUUUGAGAUGGCCUCGCGUCCGAUUAGCUAGUUGGUGAGGUAACGGCCCACCAAGGCGACGAUCGGUAGCCGGACUGAGAGGUUGAACGGCCACAUUGGGACUGAGACACGGCCCAGACUCCUACGGGAGGCAGCAGUGGGGAAUAUUGCACAAUGGGGGAAACACUGAUGCAGCGACGCCGCGUGGAGGAAGAAGGUCUUCGGAUUGUAAACUCCUGUUGUUGAGGAAGAUAAUGACGGUACUCAACAAGGAAGUGACGGCUAACUACGUGCCAGCAGCCGCGGUAAAACGUAGGUCACAAGCGUUGUCCGGAAUUACUGGGUGUAAAGGGAGCGCAGGCGGGAAGGCAAGUUGGAAGUGAAAUCCAUGGGCUCAACCCAUGAACCGCUUUCAAAACUGUUUUUCUUGAGUAGUGCAGAGGUAGGCGGAAUUCCCGGUGUAGCGGUGGAAUGCGUAGAUAUCGGGAAGAACACCAGUGGCGAAGGCGGCCUACUGGGCACCAACUGACGCUGAGGCUCGAAAGUGUGGGUAGCAAACAGGAUUAGAUACCCUGGUAGUCCACACUGUAAACGAUGAUUACUAGGUGUUGGAGGAUUGACUCCUUCAGUGCCGCAGUUAACACAAUAAGUAAUCCACCUGGGGAGUACGACCGCAAGGUUGAAACUCAAAGGAAUUGACGGGGGCCCGCACAAGCAGUGGAGUAUGUGGUUUAAUUCGAAGCAACGCGAAGAACCUUACCUGGUCUUGACAUCCCGAUGCAUAACGGGUAAUGCCGUUAGUACUUCGGUACAUUGGAGACAGGUGGUGCAUGGUUGUCGUCAGCUCGUGUCGUGAGAUGUUGGGUUAAGUCCCGCAACGAGCGCAACCCUUAUCUUUAGUAGCCAGCGAGUAAAGUCGGGCACUCUAGAGAGACUGCCGGGGAUAACCCGGAGGAAGGUGGGGAUGACGUCAAAUCAUCAUGCCCCUUAUGACCAGGGCUACACACGUGCUACAAUGGCGUAAACAAAGGGGAGCGACCCUGUGAAGGCAAGUGAAUCCCAAAAAUAACGUCCCAGUUCGGAUUGUAGUCUGCAACUCGACUACAUGAAGCUGGAAUCGCUAGUAAUCGCGAAUCAGCAUGUCGCGGUGAAUACGUUCCCGGGUCUUGUACACACCGCCCGUCACACCAUGGGAGUCGGAAAUGCCCGAAGUCGGUGACCUAACCGAAAGGAAGGAACCGCCGAAGGCAGGUCUGGUAACUGGGGUGAAGUCGUAACAAGGUA